rnacentral:rRNA from 1 species
AGUAAUGUCUGGGAAACUGCCUGAUGGAGGGGGAUAACUGCUGGAAGCGGUAGCUAAUACCGCAUAACGUCGCAAGACCAAAGAGGGGGACCUUCGGGCCUCUUGCCAUCGGAUGUGCCCAGAUGGGAUUAGCUAGUAGGUGGGGUAACGGCUCACCUAGGCGACGAUCCCUAGCUGGUCUGAGAGGAUGACCAGCCACACUGGAACUGAGACACGGUCCAG